GAGUUUGAUCAUGGCUCAGGAUGAACGCUGGCGGCGUGCUUAACACAUGCAAGUCGAACGGAACACCCUUGAAGGAGUUUUCGGACAACUGAGAGGACUGUUUAGUGGCGGACGGGUGAGUAACGCGUGAGUAACCUGCCUUGGAGUGGGGAAUAACACAGAGAAAUUUGUGCUAAUACCGCAUAAUGCAGCUGAGUCGCAUGGCUCUGGCUGCCAAAGAUUUAUCGCUCUGAGAUGGACUCGCGUCUGAUUAGCUAGUUGGCGGGGUAACGGCCCACCAAGGCGACGAUCAGUAGCCGGACUGAGAGGUUGGCCGGCCACAUUGGGACUGAGACACGGCCCAGACUCCUACGGGAGGCAGCAGUGGGGAAUAUUGGGCAAUGGGCGCAAGCCUGACCCAGCAACGCCGCGUGAA
rnacentral:rRNA from 1 species